CGUCUUGUGGCUUAGUUAGUUAAAGUGCCGGACUAGCGCGAAACGGAGUCGUGGGUUCGAAUCCCACCAAAAUAA
rnacentral:tRNA from 1 species